rnacentral:lncRNA from 1 species
GACGAUCUAAACCUAUCGAGCCAAGCACGUCGGGAUAACAACGUCGGCUUGCAGCGUCCUUCGGCAAGGACCAUUCAUCCUUUCACCUCCCGGCAAAUGGUACAGAUCUUGCACUUCUCAAAAUCGAGCUGUCAAAUGCUUCUCUGAGAUCCAAUUAGUGUAUUUCUUAUUCACUGAAUAGAGCAAUAUGCAUAUCUGAAUUUGCAGUAGUGUAUCCCUUCUUGCCUGAUAGGUUCUAUCCAAUCAUGAAAAUUGAAUUUUCUAUGGUGUAGUCGUAACUGAAGUGUCUGUGCAAGCAUGAUGAAUUUUAUUUAGGUGUGUUUUGGUCGGUAACACUUUGAUGUGUCAAAAUCAUUGACUUGGUGCUGAUAGUGUAUGUUCUGCACCUACUAGAAUAUGAGAUGCAUCCUUUACAGUAGUGUUAGGUACAUGUGGGUUCUGGCGACUUUAGUAAGAGUAGGUCUUACUGGCAGCCUCACAUUACUUAGAUAAUAUUAUUGGUGGCAUUUUUAUAACUUACUGACUCACUCACAUUUCUUAGACAUUACUAAUGUCAAUACAAUGACAAAAAUAUUUUAUCUUAAGAGUUUACAAGUUGUGCAUUUUGGACAGUUAGACAGUUAUGCAUUUUAUUUUUCUUAAAAAUCUCAAUUAUUUUUCUUGGACAGAUAGGCAGUCAUGUUUCUUUUGUACCAGUCAAACAAGUGCUCUGUAUUUCAUUGUUUGACAUAUUAUUGAACUGCUUUUGAUAAGGCCAAAAAGCUUUAGAAAUGUUCCUGCUUGUCAUGGUAAAAUUGGGAUGGACUGCUUUCCUGCUUGUACCUAUUACUGAACUGCUUUCCUAAACUAUUACUGAACUGCUUUCCUGAACUAUUACUGAACUAUUUUCCUAGCAAGGGCAAAAACACUUAGAACUACUUUCCUGCUUUUAAUUUGCACCAACCAAAAGGAUAUGUAAUACAUUUACUCAGUUUUCUCAAUGCUAUGUCACUAUAUGUUUUGUUUUCACUUAAAGCUCUGUGCUUUGUUGCAGGUUAUGUUUUGUCACCGAAGGUUCAGUCUUUCCUAAGUUCCUGAUGCACCAAGGUCAGUUUUUAGAAAGGUGUCAAUGUAGUUUUAUACUCCUUAGUUUUCAGAAAUAUGUCAAUGCAGUUUUAUAUGUGUGAACGCAAUUUGACAAUGCAGUUUUAUACUCUUGUCUUAGUUUUUAG